UACGUAGGGUGCAAGCGUUGUCCGGAAUUAUUGGGCGUAAAGAGCUCGUAGGCGGUCUGUCGCGUCUGCUGUGAAAACUCAGGGCUUAACCCUGAGCUUGCAGUGGGUACGGGCAGACUAGAGUGCGGUAGGGGAGACUGGAAUUCCUGGUGUAGCGGUGAAAUGCGUAGAGAUCAUGAGGAAGACCAGUGGCGAAGGCGG
rnacentral:rRNA from 1 species